UACGUAGGGUGCGAGCGUUGUCCGGAAUUACUGGGCGUAAAGAGCUCGUAGGUGGUUUGUCGCGUUGUUCGUGAAAACUCACAGCUCAACUGUGGGCGUGCGGGCGAUACGGGCAGACUGGAGUACUGCAGGGGAGACUGGAAUUCCAGGUGUAGCGGUGAAAUGCGUAGAUAUCUGGAGGAACACCGGUGGCGAAGGCGGCAUCCUGGACCGGCAGUUGACGCUGAGGCGCGAAAGCUAGGGGAGCAAACGGG
rnacentral:rRNA from 1 species